AAUUUUCUCUUAAUAUUUAAUACAUAUGCAUGAAUGCAUUGUAUAUAUCCACCUAACACUACGUCCUGAGCUCGCUGUAAUCGGCCUGGCAGUCAUUGCUGUCCUCGGUGUUUUCAAUGCUUGUUCAAUCGAUUGGGACAUCGCUGCCUGAGUGGCGGGUCGCACUACCCCGGUAACAGGUGAGCUAUAACAAACCGGAUUGAGAUUUAGGUCGUACUCCUUGACCGGUGUAACUGGUACCGGGAUUUUUCAAUGAAGUCCCUGGCCUUGGCAUCAUUGAUAUCGCAUAAUUGUCUAACAGAGUUUCCGCAAUUCCCUCCUCCUCGCCUUCAAUGUCAUCUACGUAGACUUGCAAUGUUAAGGCACGCAUUUUCAAGACCCACACAGCCUGGCAACCCAAGUUUCAUGGUGAUCCAAAAAUAAUUACUAUUCUCUGCAUAUGAAAGAAAAUGUAUACCUGAUCCAGCGGAUUUUUUCUCAACAAAUCGGUGCAUAUCGUAGCGCACGCCUCGUAUUUCUGCCGAUUGAAUAAGCUUAAAGCUUGAAACAACUCCAUAUUCAAUAUAUUGUAAAUGUCGGAGCAAACAUUAGCUUCGCCACAUUGAUCCGAUUACACAGUGUUACUCUUAUGCUUCGAGUCUUAUACAUCGCAUAUAUCUAUGUACCUAUAUAAGCGGAGUUUUAUCGAUUAUUCCUUCCUUGCAUUACUUCUUUUUUCAACGGUACAACAGAAAUAAUCAAUUAGUAUAACAAUAUAUGAUUGGUAUUUGUUCUUAAUCAUGUGAGACACGAUAUAAUUUUUGACAUUUUCUCUUUAUUGUAAAUAUAAAUGAACAAAAUUGAUGUAAAUAUACCUUGAUUUUCUAACAUGAUUUUGAGCUAUUAAAAGUCAUCAUAUUUUUAUUUAUUAGAAAAUUGCAAUGGCAUUUGUUGGUAAAAAUAACUCAAGUAUACGAGAAGAAUUCGAACGAUAUUUCGAGAAGAAAAAUAUACAAUCUUUGAUGCAUUUACAUAAUGCUUUUUUGAUGACAGAAAAUAAAGAAAUGGAUUCUUCUUAACUAUACGACGCUUUCCAAGACAUCCUCGAGAUAAAAAUACCGCAGAUAGAUGUAAGACCGAUGGUAAAGUAACGUGGAACGAAUUCAUUUCCUAUUUAUUGAUAGAAUCCAGUGGCAGGAUUUAUAUAUUACAGGCUUUAAUUUCUUUUUAUCGAAUACAAUAUA